rnacentral:lncRNA from 1 species
AGAGGUCCUGAGUUCAAUUGUCAGCAACCACAUGAUGGCUCACAACUGUCUGUAAUGGGAUCUGAUUCCUUCUACUGGUGUGCAUGAAGACAGAGCACUCGGAAUCUAGAGCGCUCCUGAUUUAGUCCCCAAGUACCCUACUUCUUAAUCCUGAUACAAAAGGGAUUUCAGAUUGAAGCCCAGAUGUUUAUGGGACAUUUGCAUCAUACCAUCUUCUUGUGUGAAUUAUCUCAAAAUUCAGGAAGAAGAUCAGGUAAGUUUGUUAUCAUCUUUCCAUGGAGUAAUCAAUGCAGGGAGAUAGUAUAAAGGAAGCUUUUAUUAUAAUAUUCUUAUUCUGGGACCAUUAAGGAAUGCCAAUCAGUUAUUAAUUAAUACUUCUAUAGUCUUCUGCAUUACUUAAAAGAGACUUGCAUAUUCAGGACUAAGAUUUGCAUAUGUACAUGAUUUAAAGACGAGCAGAGUACAUCUUUUUUGGUUUAUUUGUGUCUCAUUUCCGUGAUGCCUAGAAUCUGUUGAACCUAAGGUUGUCAGACUCAACAGGGAGACAUGUCUUUUGUAAACAGACACACAGCCAUUCUUUCAGAACAGCUUCAGCUUCUCAAAUGAAGGGAAACAACGCCAGACUCCACUUCCUAAUCCCGGGUAUUUCUAAUUAGCUGUAGAAUUCUUUCCACUCCAAAUGGCUCCAGGCACUCAACUACAACAGCAAUCCAAACUGGUUUUUCAUUUUUGUGAAGUCAUCUCUGUUGUGUUCUUGUUAUGUGUUGUGUGAACCUCUGCCCAGCUGUUUGCCAGAAAUGGUUAAGUGCUGCUUGUUACUUUUGGGGUGGUUCAUACCUGAGGCAAAAUCAAGGAAAGAAACAUGAAAUUUCUUGUACUACUUCAGGUUAAUUAGCUGUGUGUCGAGGCUUAAGUGUUCAGCUUUGGGGUGGUUCUUCUCUUCCUAUCCAGAUUUAUGUAACUUGAGCAGAAGUUAUGAUAUUGUUAGUGGCAUUUUUGGAUAUAUACUUCUAUGAAUAUACAUAGAUGAAUGUGAUUUUAGUUUAUGACUUUUUUCUUUUUUUAUAUAUAACAGAGCAGACAAGAAGGAGACCAGAGUCAGCAAAAUCACACAUAGUUGAGAAAAUCUAAGACUAUUCUCUAAGUACGGUUAGGGUGAUUUUCAUGUCUCUGAAAGUAAAAAAUCUAAAUCAAUAUUUCCUUAAUGUUGCUAAUGUUUUAUAUUCAAGGAAUAUAAGGAAACUGUGGGAAGGAUAACCACAAUUCAAAUAGAUUUUAGUUGCUCAUAGUUCUUAACAUGAUAUAGUCACUGUUUGAGGAGAAUGACAUUUAAUAAUUUUAAAACCAAAAGAGCUACAUGUUGGCUUUAGUACUGGGCCAGGAGUAAACAAAGGCACAGCUGGUUGUCUAUGCAAUCAAUUUAAGAUAAUUUAUCAUGCUGCAAGGUAAUUAUGAAACCAAUAGAUAUUUUCAUAAAACAGAGCUUAUAUUCUCCUGUAGAGAGAGAUGUAUCAUUAGGAAGUUGCUGAGACGUCUCUUCAGACAUUGUUAACCCUAUCAGUCCGGGAACUCCCAGACUGUUCUUCUGUUCAGAUAGGAACUCAAGCAGAGCUGGGGCCAGGUGAUCGCAGAGUCUUCCUCCCUGUGGCUGACAGUCUUCAGAGAGUAUAGCAUCCAAGUGAGAGCUAACACUAGUGACAGCGGUUCCUCUGGUCUCAUGCCUUUGUUGGAACUCAGUCAGUUUAGAGUAAAAAAUGGCAGUAAGGAGUGGCAAUAAGUAGAUGAUAAUUUGUAGUAUGUUGAGCCUUUAGCAUCUCUGGAUUCUACCUAGUGCAUAUUACUUCCUCAGCAGGGAUUGCCAUGCCAUCGGAGCUGAAUUUUACAAAUGCAUCGUGAAUAUUAAGAAUCGUUUUUAGUGUAGAUGUGGGUAGUGGGGAUACCUCUGAUUUGAACCACAGACAGGUGAACAGCAAGACUAAGAAUGUAUGCUGUAAUGACCCCAUCUUUUUAUGUUUAUUGUAGAUGUGUGCACUAGUUUCCUUUCUAAGUAUGUGGGAGAAUAGAGAUAAUUUCUGGGAAACCCCACUGCUCACCUCUGUGGACAUUGGCAUCAGCAGAGCAUCACAGUGUAGUCAAAGCCACUGGAAAUAGCUGGUACUGCAUAGGAAACUGUGGGGACAGGAGAGUAUAAUUGAAUUUGUCUUUGGUCUUCUGAAAUCUCAGCCACCCGAGGUCUUCAGGGCUAACUUUUUCCAUUUCCUCCCUCAAGAAACCAAACCUAAGAACCAAUUUAAAGAUGCCCCUUCAGUACCAAUUCCUCCGGUGAAAUGUAUAAGUGUUUCAGAUAUAGAAAGGAGGCCGCGCAGCAUGGAAUUGGGUAGUAAGGUAGGAAAGGGCAGAAAAAUUAUAAGGUAUGUCUUCAUCCUUUCUGAGUGUGUGGAUAGUCAUUUGGAUAGAAAAUAGUGACAGGUGAGUCUAGCAGAAACCCCAACUGACUCAAAAAUUAUACAGGAAAACACACAGUAGCAGAAUCCAUUGUUUUUCUAGCAUAUAUGAAAAAGAUGUGAAGUAAGAAGUCUCCCAGCCUGACUGUUAAACAGCAGACAGACAGACACACACACACACACACACACACACACACCAUACACAAACACACACAGAGAUACACAUAGACACAUACAUAUACACACACAGACACACGCACAAUCCACACACACACACACACACACACACACACACACCCUUAAACCUAUCCUUAAGGGUAAACUAAAAAAAAAAAAAGUGCAGAGGAAACCCCUUAUGUGAGUACGACUUUCUUCCCCUUACCUGUCCUAGCUUCCGGGAGAAUUAGAGUAGUGUGUCUCCCUUCAGUCAAUCUCACAUGCCACAGAAAGAAAGGCCAUGUGGUCUGCAGAAUCAGUAUUUUAAACCCCUUAGCACAGGAGAGCCAACUGCUUGGCAUGUUAACCAUUGUCACGUGGUAGAGUCCUCUGAAUACUGUCUGUAGAAACUCUACUGGCACUUUGGCAAAGCACAUCCUUCUGAAGGUUGUUUGGUAUUGAGUAGGGACUCUCAGUAUGUAGCUCCCAGCAUGAGAACUUUGAGCAGGAAUGUACCAUCAGCUCAAUUCCUUCUGCCCUUGUUUUUCCCACCAGGAGCUAACAGUUGUUGUCAUUCUGCCCUAAGACCCCAACCACUACUCAACAUGGUCACAGGAGCUCUAUCAUGGACAAUGGAAGUUUUGAAAAGUUAAAUUGCACUGGGACUUGUACCUAGGACUCAAGUCUUGGUUUUCAGGAUGACUGACAGUCAUGAAAGUAAAAUUUAGUUACCAAGUAAACUUCCUCAUAUCUUUGCUACCUUGACAUACUCAUCUCCCGAUGCUAAGACUCAUCUGAAAUCCUUGUUUAAAAUAUGGAUUUGUUGGUUCUUGAAGCCCUUUGGAGUCUCUCUCACCAUCACCAGCUCUUGUCUAAGCCUGGUUCUCUGCAGUUUUAUGAGUCUCAUUGGUUCCCUUUGGCUCAGACAUUCUUCUGAAGAUAUUUCUUUAGCAUGUGAUUCACACCAGUGACAGAUCUAAAUGCUGAGGUACCCAGUGCAAACAUGACAGACGGGAAUUUCUGUCAGCAGGCACCAGGUUAGUUUGAGAAGCCCUUCACUGUACCAUGUUUAUUAAGUUAAAAUUCAGAUCAAUAGUCUUCUCCUCUAUCCUUUUGCCGAAGAUAGGAAGAGGCAUGGUCACACCUGAAAGCAAUUUCAAGAUGUUCUUUCUUGAGGAGAAGCCAGAAGGUUUAGAGGACAGAGCACAACAUUUUAUUCUUUCCUUCAUUUUGAUUUCUGGCAUUUAAUGACAUGAACAUCCCCCUCACUCUCAUUGAGAAAACAACAACGCCCUCCUUGUCUUCUCUUCAUGCUUCCCACUGAGAACUUCAGAGGGAUCAACAUCCUUCUGGAAAUGUCAGCUACCUGUGUAUUUAUUAUUCACAUAUCUGAACAGGCAGGAGGAUGCUCAGAGGCAGCGACAGCCUCAGCACUGGAGGGCUGUUAAGCAGCCAAAGAGGAUUUCUUGAUUCCCCUUCUGAGGACCCGUCUCCAUUUAAUUGCAUUCAGAUAUUUUAUCAAGACAAUGUCAUAGUUUAAUAA